ACACACACACACACACACACACACACACACACACACACACACACACACACACAAUUAAAGAUAUUUGAUAAAUGACGAGACAUACCAGCACUGAGGGAGUAGUAAGUUCCUUGCUUGAAAAGAUUAGCAACAGCUGUAUGACCAGACUAGACCAAUUAAUUAGACACAGAUUAGUAUAAGCAGAUCUACACAAACUGUUAUAUAUAUUUUAUUAAAGCAUGUAUAAUAACAUACAUACAGACAGACAAACAGACAGAUAGACAGACAGACAGACAAACAGACAGAUAGACAGAUAGACAGGCAGACAGACAGACAAACAGAGUAAAGACAGACAGACAGAUAAACAGACAGACAGACAGACGGACAGACAGACAGACAAACAGACUGACAAACAAACAGACAAACAAACAAACAAAUAUACGGACAAACAAACAGACAGACAGACAGACCAACAAACAUAAAAAACAGACAGGCAAACAAACAGACAGACAGACCAGAUUAUUUUAUGUUAACAGAUCCUCUACUUGUACACAUCCUACAGACAGACACACAAACAGACAUAAAAAGCAGACAUACAGACAAAUGAACAAACAGGCAGACGAGACAGACAGACAGGCAGACAAACAGACACAGACAGACACAACCAGAGAGACAGACAGAAGUGUAACGCCAAAUUCCUUCUGAAGAAGGGUUCCGCACUUUGCAGUGAUGGUGUCAACAAGCCCGUGUCCUACAGCACCCAGUUUUUUAGUCACUGAUUGUCUCUGGGUUGCUGCAUGCUUGUAGUUUAUAGCUCAUUCUUAGUGAAGUGUAUAGUGUGUAGAUUAUGGACAAGGUACAUUUGAACUUAAUUAACUUAAGGUGUUCGUCUGCUAUUUAUGUCUUUACUUUGUUGUUGGUGUUAAGAAACUGGACCUUGCAGUGGAGGCGUGCAUGAGCAAGCAGCAGCACCAGAGGGUACACACUCAGAUGAUGCCGAACUUACACCUGUCGAACUUGAUAAAGAUGAGAUUGCUCACACGUUGACUGAGAAUUGUGUACUUCAGCAGAGCAAGCAUCCUUUCCUUACACUAUUGUUCCAUUUAUCCAAAGAGAGAGUGUUUUCAGAGGACCGGUCACGUUUCUAUGGUGCUGAGAUAACACUAGCCAUCGAGUACCUUCACGAAAACAACAUUGUUUAUAGAGACUUGAAGACACGGACACAUCAAUCUUGCAGACUUUGGUCUUUGUAAAGAAGACAUCACGAAAGACACAACGAUCAGCACCUUCUGUGGAACACCAGAAUAUCUAGCACCCGAGGUUUAGAAGAAAGUGAUUACGGUCGAGCUGUUGACUGAUGGUGUGUGGGUGUGGUCAUGUAUGAGAUGAUUUGUGGUCGGCUGCCGUUUUAUAACAGAGACCAUGAAGUGUUGUUUGAGCUCAUUCUGACUGAAGCAAUCAAGUUUCCUUAACGAGCAUCUUCUUUGUCAAGAUCUUUGCUAACUGGACUGCUGGAGAAGGAUCCACGGAAAAGACUUGGUGGAGGUGACCGUGGUGCAUCUGAGAUUAUGGAUCAUGCCUUCUAUAGCAGCAUCAACUGGCAAGACAUUUACGAUCACAAGG